rnacentral:rRNA from 1 species
UCUGGUUGAUCUCUGCCAGUAGUCAUAUGCUUGUCUCAAAGAUUAAGCCAUGCAUGUCUAAGUACGGCUCUAGUACGGUGAAACUGCGAAUGGCUCAUUAAAUCAGUUUUGGUUCAUUUGAUCGUGAAAGUUACAUGGAUAACUGUUGUAAUUCAAGAGCUAAUACACGCUAAGAGUGUCGCUCUCUGGGCGGCGCGCUUUUAUCAGACCAAAACCAAUCACCUUCGGGUGUUCAUUGUGGUGAGUCUGGAUAAACUAGCUGAUCGCAUGGUCUCGAACCGGCGAUGGAUCAUUCAAGUGUCUGACCUAUCAACUGUCGAUGGUAGCGUAUUGGGCUACCAUGGUUGUAACGGGUAACGGAGAAUUAGGGUUUGGUUCCGGAGAGGGAGUCUGAGAAACGGCUACCACAUCUAAGGAAGGCAGCAGGCGCGCAAAUUACCCAUUCCCGACUCGGGGAGGUAGUGACGAAAAAUAACAAUUCAAGACUCUUAACGAGGCCUUGAGAGUUGGAAUGAGUACACUUUAAAACUUUUAACGAGUAACUAUUGGAGGGCAAGUCUGGUCCCCCGU